GAUGAAGAACGCAGCGAAAUGCGAUAAGUAAUGUGAAUUGCAGAAUUCAGUGAAUCAUCGAAUCUUUGAACGCACAUUGCGCCCGCCAGUAUUCUGGCGGGCAUGCCUGUCUGAGCGUCAUUUCAACCCUCAGCCCCCGCUCGCGGGGCGCUGGCGUUGGGGAUCGGCCGUCCUCGCGGCGGCCGGCCCCGAAACACAGUGGCGGUCUCUCGCGGACUCCCCUGCGUAGUAGCACUACCUCGCAGAAGGGACGAGCGGGCUGACCACGCCGUAAAACCCCCCACUUCUCCAGGUUGACCUCAGAUCAGGUAGGAAUACCCACUGAACUUAAGCAUAUCAAUAAGCGGAGGA
rnacentral:misc_RNA from 1 species